rnacentral:rRNA from 1 species
CCUACGGGGGUCAGCAGUGAGGAAUAUUGGUCAAUGGUCGGGAGACUGAACCAGCCAAGCCGCGUGAGGGAUGAAGGUACAGAGUAUCGUAAACCUCUUUUGUCAGGGAACAAAGGCGGGGACGUGUCCCCGGAUGAGUGUACCUGAAGAAAAAGCAUCGGCUAACUCCGUGCCAGCAGCCGCGGUAAUACGGAGGAUGCGAGCGUUAUCCGGAUUUAUUGGGUUUAAAGGGUGCGUAGGCCGCAUGUCAAGCGUGCUGUGAAAUGUCCGGGCUCAACCCGGGCCUUGACGCGGGAACUGGCGUGCUUGAGUCGGCGGAAAGCAUGCGGAAUUCGUGGUGUAGCGGUGAAAUGCUUAGAUAUGACGAAGAACCCCGAUUGCGAAGGCAGCAUGCUGCAGCGGAACUGACGCUGAUGCUCGAAAGCGCGGGUAUCGAACAGGAUUAGAUACCCUAGUAGUC